rnacentral:tRNA from 1 species
GGCCCAGUGGCGAAGAAGCAACGCGGGAGUCUGCAAAACUUCUAUGCGCCGGUGCGAAUCCGGCCUGGGCCU